UGAUUUAGGUUUAAGGGGUUUGGGUUUAGGAGAGUGCGUGAGGGAAGCGGCGGCUGGCGAUCGAUAGACCGUGGGACGUGUAGUGGCUGGCGGGCUGCAGAGAUCGUGUGGCAGUGGCACCAUCGUUCCAACGACGGGACAGAGGAAGUAGGAGGACGUGAGUGUGACGAAUCGGGGGUUUGUGAAGAUUGGGAUCGAGCACGCGACCUCAAGCCCCUCUCUGGUUCCGUGCCACCACCUGCGGCGGCAGGGAGAGUCUAGGCCCCGACUCUCUCUCUCUCUCUCCACCCAGUGGACGCUCUCUCUCGUGAGCGUGGGAGCGAGCAGUGGUCCCUCGGCGAUGGUAGCGGCGGUGCGGUACCCGAAGGAGUCUAGACACGGUCGGUCAAGCAAACUUCUCCCUAGACCGGCAACUGACAACCACGAAGGGGAGGGGGCUGCUAGUCGGUACUGAACCCUACCAUGAAGAUAGUUCGUUCGUCGCGAAGCCGACCCUCGAGUUCGAGUUCGUCUUGCAGUUUUUGUCCCAGAGAUAGACGAUUACCCCAUCGGUCGUUACGUCAGAUUCUCGACCGAUGACGAUUACACUAAAGACCUAAACUCUCCUACUCUUGAACUCUUCUUGUUCGAACUAUGAUGCUAACGUUUGUUUUUAAGUUAUGAUGUCCACUCUCAACUAUGUGUGGUAUGUAUCCGAAACGUUCGCCCGCCUUUAUCUGGAGAAGCAGCUACUGAAGAUACUCCUGCUAUAACUGGAUCUCCGACCUCGAAACGAUGAGAAAGGCCGGUUGUUGUUCCCUAGCAAAUGAAAAAGAGAGGGGUGUAGGUCAGGAAGGGACAAGGAUAGGGAGGACGAAUAAAGAACGAUAUCCCGUUGUAUUACGUUCACAAACAAUUUAACAACCAGAGUUACGAGGUAAGAUCGUGUUCCUUAAAGCCAUCCUUCUGUAUCGUAGUUAGUUCCUAAAAGCCCACCUUCUGUAUCGUAGUGAGUACCAACAUAUCUAAAUGACAACAUAAAGACAUAAAAACGUUUUGAUCAAGUCAUUUCGAACAUCGAAUAAAGUCAAGAAUUCACCAAAAUGUGAAUCCGAACAUAACUGAACGAUGAAUAAAAAAGGUAUUAAAACGUUGUGAUCAAGACAUCAUAUAUCAUGUCAAAAAAAUACCUUAGUUCGGUUUUAUGUACAUAUAGAUCGGCAAACAUAAAGAUGUCAGUACGAAGAUUUCUAAAAUAUCAAAAUAAAAGUGAUAUCUAAACGAAGUCAUCAAGACAUUGAAGAUCUUAUCUAGUCAAUUCUCCAAAAUGAGAAUCCGAACAUAUUUGAAUGUUGUAGAAAAUAAACAUUAAAACCUUGUAAUCAAAACAUAUCGAAAUGAAAUCAAAGACCUUUGUUCUAAUUUAUGCAUACAAACGUCAAACAUUAAAUGUCAGUACGAAGAUGUAUCAAAUGUCAUCAUAAAAGACACUUAUACGAAGUGAUCAAGACAUUUUGCAGAUCUUAUCAAGUGAAGACCUUACUUCUCAAUUAUACAUAAUUAACCAAAAGAUUAAAAUGGAAAAGCGAACAUAUCUAAAGGUCGACAUCAUAAAAACAAUAAGAAGAAGUCAUCAAAAGCUUUUACCUGAUUUAUACUUUUCAACCAAGAUUAAAUAACAGUCAGAAAAAUAUAUCUACAAUGUCAACGUAAAAAGAAUAAUCAAAAACCGUUAAAACGUUACUCUUACCAAAUUGUUGACAUCUGACAAGACCAAAUAUUCCGGUAACAUAGGUACUCCUUUAAACAAUGAAUAAAAACUUAUGUAGAGAAUGACACAUAGACAUGCAACGUCUCGUUGAGUAUAACCAAAUCGAAUCUACGUAAAAUUCUAUACCGUACUUCGAUCGAUUCCAGAAGAUAAUAAAGAUCGUCGUACACUAACUGACUUGUUUUCUUCCUGAGGUGAGUGUAUACUUUACGAACGUUCAAAAAAAAAUUUUUCGUUUCCUGGUCGCCACAUCGAUUCCCGAAAUUAAAUAAUCAUGAGGUAGACAACGAAGAUUUUGUGAACAUACGUGUCUAUGAUCAAAGAGAACCAAUAGUAUUCACUUGUAAGAAAUCUAUUUAAAGUGGGUCAAAAAAAUCACCCCUUCCUUUCGAAGUACUAUAAGGUAAAUUUCGCGACUAUAGAUAAACUUUUAAUUAAAUACACGUAUGGAGGAGCUGGAUUGUCAUAAAAAGAUGACAUAUCCUCUUUAGAAGGGUCAAAGACUUAGGACUCGUCAUCGUUCAGUCCACGAAUUACCACUAGGAUGGUACGUAUACCGUAUUCGUUCAAUCAAGAUUUUUCCAGUAACAAUUAAGCGGGUGUAAACAGGGCGUUAACGCUGUUGAAUCACGUCACUCUAGUCUCCUGUCAGUAGUUAAAUUAGAUUAAACACCGUGUUUUCAUAUCUACGAAAAGAGGCUACGAAAAUACUUAUAUUAUCAGUCUACGUCAAAUUCAAGUCUAUGAAAAACUGUAAAACAAACCAUAAAACGUACAGGAGUACACGAAUCAUGGCGUAAAUCUUUACUAAAGCCUAUCUAAGAAGAGUAACUUUAAGUAAAGAUUGCAUCCCUUACAUACAUAUUGGAGGACUACAUGCACCCAAAAACUCUUACGAAAAGGGUCCGGUACGACGUGAGUAGUAACUUUGAAGAUCAACACAUAAUCUAUCAUUAGUAAAAACGGAUUACAUAACGACAGAUCACGUCGUUUCACGCCAGAAAGGUGGGGUCUCUUCUUUUUCUUUCUCUUGAUCACGUCAGAAAAGAAGUUUUUACUGAAAGUACACAGGGAACCACCUACACAACGAGGGUUAUUAACCCACAGACCUGUACGAUUUAACAACGGAACACCGGUCUACUACGUAUACGAGGAAAAGGUAAAUUAUAUGAAGG
rnacentral:rRNA from 1 species